GAGCCGUGCGGUGAGCACAGAGCGAACUAUUCUUUCGCCUUUUACUAAAGAAUACCGUGUGCUCGCCGUUAAAGCGGCGUACGCCUAUUUUUGGGAGGGCCGUUUCCUCUUGAUUU
rnacentral:snRNA from 1 species